rnacentral:rRNA from 1 species
UUCAUGAGAGUUUGAUCCUGGCUCAGGACGAACGCUGGCGGCGUGCCUAAUACAUGCAAGUCGAGCGGAUGAAGGGGAGC